GACGUAGGGCGCGAGCGUUGUCCGGAUUUAUUGGGCGUAAAGGGCGCGUAGGCGGCCUUGCAAGUGACGGGUGAAAUCCCUCGGCUUAACCGAGGAACUGCCUGUCAAACUGCGUGGCUUGAGACCAGGAGAGGUGAGUGGAAUUCCCAGUGUAGCGGUGAAAUGCGUAGAUAUCAGGAAGAACACCUAUGGCGAAGGCAGCACUCUGGGACGGUACUGACGCUGAGACGCGAAAGCGUGGGGAGCGAACAGG
rnacentral:rRNA from 1 species